UGAAGCUUUGGGCCGGGAAGAUUCUAAGGGAAGCUGGGUGCGCGGUGGCGAAGUUGUCCUGUGCGAGUGCGAGGCUUGGUACUUAAUUCGUUUCAGGGGCCUGCAGGACACUGAGGGCGAGAUUUCUAGGAGACCGAUGUGGGUCUGAAGCAUGGAGGGAAGUCAGAGGGGGAGAGAUGACCUUGAUACAGUCAAGCACAGAGUUGGUCAUGGGGUACCACGAGCACCAGCACAGUGCCUCCCAUGGAGCAUGGACUCAGAAAUGUUUGUUGUUGCCUGUGAGAGUCCUGUCACUGGUGGCUUCAUAGAGGCGAUGACGUUUGAGGCACCUGCAGGGAGAGGGCCACAGCUGCGUGAGGGUCUUACAGUUGGCUGGACGUGCCACGAUCCUCCUUAGUCCCCCUGGUGUGUCCCUGAUCCGGGCGAUUCAGGCAAGGCCACAGCCUGUGAUGGCAGACCAACUCGGAUUCCAAGUACGGCUUUUCCACUUACUGGCUGUGUGACCUCAGGCAAGUGGCUUAGCGUCUCUGA